rnacentral:lncRNA from 12 species
AUGGAAGGGGGAGGGCCUCGCCCCCCGGGACAGCCUUCUGCAUCCCUCACAGGCUCGGCACCACCAGCGCUGACCUCGGGAGGCCCUGCUGCCGUCUGCGCUCACGAGGGCCGUCACGGGGCCUCACGUGGCCUGCGGGCUCCCCGGCCCCUGCCAGCUGGAACCCCUCAGCCUUGGGGCCUCGGCCCCCGGCUCUGUCCUCCGGCUGAGCAGAGCCUUGCACCGCGUCCUACGGGACAGCGCCCGUGCCCCCCAUCGAGGCAGGUGCGCAUGGCCUGCCCCAUCCCCGCUCCGCCCAGGGCACCCCUCUCAGGUACCCAGCACCCACGCCGGACAGCACUUGGGGGACAGGACUCGGGGACCCCUUUCUGGGGUGCAGUUUUCUCACCCACACACGAAGCCCUCCGGCCGCCCUGCAGACACCCCUGGAAGGACGGUGCGUCAGCAGGUGGGAAGGACGGCCCAGCAGGUGGGAAGGACGGCCCAGCCGGGCUCCAGCUCCAGCCCGCUUCCUCCGGCCUGGUCCUCAGGUCCACUGCGGGUGCCCGGGCGCACUCACAGCACCCCCAGGCCCCCCGGCGAGCGGGGCCCCCAAGGACGUGCUCCCUGUGUCUGGUCCCCCGGGGCCCCCACACUGUCACGCCAGCCCCCUCCAGGCCCGAGGGACUUUGUAGAAACGUCAGUCAUCUCUGCGCCUGGCCUUGCUGCCUGUGGGGCCGUGGGGCUAGGGUGGGGGUUGCUCAGCCCACCUGCGUCCCCAGCUCAGGACCCAGAGGCUCCAAAAUCACGAUUUUGAUGGCUUGUCUCGUGGGGGGCGGGCGCGGUGUCCCCUGGAUCCUUCUUUCAUCCCAGAGUCUGGAGUCUCCCAAACUACUUGACGUACCACGUUGUUCGCUCCCAAUUUCAGGGCUUCCGGACGCGGUCACCUGCGCGAAGGCCGAGGCACAGGCGGGCGCCUCCCCCCGCGGGUUCUCCGAUGCGUUCCCGGUUUCCUCGCUUCUGCUCAUACUGUUGACUCUGGCGUCACAGGCGAGGUCCUCGAACCCUCCCCGCGGCCAGCUCUAGCUGUCCCAGCGUCACCGGCCGAGUCGCUGUCCCGGGUGGGGUCCCGGGUGGACCCGUUUGCCCAUGGGACGGCGCCGCGCGGUUGUAACUAUGAUGCUUCGUAGUAUGUUCUGAUUUAAUUGGAUUUAGUUUUCUAUUUAAAACGUCUUGGAGGAGGGUGGCUGGGUGGCUCAGUGGCUGAGCGUCCGCCUUGGGCUCAGAGUGUGACCCUGGGGUCCCGGGUUCGAGUCCCGCAUCGGGCUCCCUGCACGGAGCCUGCUUCUCCCUCCGCCUGGGUCUCUGCCUCUCUCUGUGUCUCAUGAAUAAAUGAAUAAAAUCUUUAAAAAAAUAAAGUCUU